rnacentral:tRNA from 1 species
GUUAGUUUGGCAGAGAAGUGCUUUAAAUUUAGAAUUUAAAAAUGUAAUUUAUUACAUCUAAUA